rnacentral:rRNA from 1 species
GAGCACGUAGGUGGGUUUGUAAGUCAGAUGUGAAAACCUUCUGUUCAACGGAAGAAUUGCUUCUGAAACUACAAUCCUUGAGUAUAGGAGGGGAGAGUGGAACUUCUGGUGGAGCAGUGAAAGGCGUAGAUUUCAGAAGGAAGCCCGGCGCCGAAAGCGACUCUCUGGCCUAUAACUGCCACUGAGUGUGCGAAAGCUAGGGGACCAAACGGGAUUAGAUACCCCGGUAGUCCUAGCCGUAACCGAUGGGCACUAAGUAGAGGGGUUUU